rnacentral:piRNA from 1 species
UUCCAGUAGAGUUGCCAAUAU